CUGAGAGCCCAUCUCCUCUGGUACCUGCCAGGAUCUCCUGCUGGGGAGGGCUCUGAGAAAGUUGAGGAGCUGCCUCCCGGCUUCUGGGGAGCCACCACCACUCCCCGCCAGCUUAGGGAAGACACAGGAGAGACAGCCCCUGCACCAUCUCCCUGCUCGUCACUGUUGGCAGGAUCGCAGCUGGAGGCCACCCAGGCAAACCGCAGCCAUCAUUGCCAGCACCGCUGCCCACCAGGGACAGGAGAUGGGUUUUACAGAAGGAUGCGACCUGGGAUCUGCCGACCACCUGAAGAGUUCAGCAGCCCCGAGAAGUUUGUCAGGAGCUGAAUCACUUGGCCGAAUUCGACAGGCAAGGAUGAGCGAUCACCUGGGGAGCUGGACGCACCAUCAGGGCUAGAAUCCCUCAUGCAGGUUCUUCUUGGGCCUGAAGUCUCGGGAGCAAGGCUCAUUUAUUGUUCUCGAUGGGAAACCCCAUCAUCAUCACUGUCAUCAUCAUCACCAUCAUCUCCACCACCACCAUCGUUUCCCAGAUAUGCCUGAAUUUGCAUGAAGGGACUGAGAACCUUGUGUCAGAAUGCGCUUCUGAUCUCCCAAGAACCUCUUUCAACUCAACAGGGAAAGAAAGUGGGAGCGAAGCAGAUGGCCUAAAUCUCACCCUUGAGAGAACAGAAUGCUGGCCUGCAUCCUGGACCCUGACUCCGACUACCUGGGCAAUGUGGCAACUCUGCAGCGUGGCAACAAGUGGCAAGGUGACCAGCGCACUUACCAUUAUGGG